UUUAAGGUAUGUUCAGUUCCAUAUAAUUACUUAUGUAAUAUGCAUUUAUAAAGUGCUUGAACAUUUUAAAAGUAAGUAUCAAGAAACUAUCAAUGGUAAUGUUUUAAAGAUGCUAAAAAAUUAUUUUCACCUAGGCAAACCAUAUAAACAUCCAGUUUUCUUUAAAAAUUUCAAUAGGCAUCCGUAAUUAGGGGUAUUUCCUGAUUUCCAUCCUAAAGGAGAUUGCCUUUUUUUUGUUUUUUUUAGAUGGAAUCUCACUGUGUCACCAGGCUGGAGUGCAGUGGUGCAAUCCCACCUCACUGCAACCUCCGCUUCCCGGGUUCAAGCGAUUCUCCUGCCUCAGCCUCCCGAGUAGCUAGGACUACAGGCGUGCGCCACCACGCCCAGCUAAUCUGUGUAUUUUCAGUAGAGACAGGGUUUCACUAUGUUGGCCAGGAUGGUCUCGAUCUCUUGACCUCGUGAUCUGCCCACCUCGGCCUCCCAAAGUGCUGGGAUUACAGGAGUGAGCCACUGCGCCCGGCCCAGACUGCCUUUUCGGUGAGAAGAACAAUUUGUGGGGUUGAACUACCUGAUGUCAAAUAAGAAUUACAGCAGGAGUUAGUUAUAUAAAAAUAGUUUCCCACAAAUACUAACAUAAGAAAUAUCAAAUAUCUUGUCAUAUUUCUAGUAUUAAAUUUCUUUUGCUUUUACAGUAAAUUGUUUGGAGGAUAUAAGGUUUACUUCUAAGGAGAUAAAAAGCAAUUGAUGCUUCCUCAAAAUAAAAAAGUUGACUCCAGCCAUGUUUUUAUUUGUUGAGAAAUAUUCUAUAUCUACACUAUGGGAUACAGACUAACAGUUAUUUACCUGUCUAUUGAGUACUUGUCACCUAGGAGUCAUCAGUAAGUUGCAUCCAUUAAACAAAGAAAAGUCAUUCAACCAGCCAUCUGGAGACAACAUGGGCAAAGGUUAACACUGAGGAGAAACUGCUGGAAGUAGAAUCCAAAUUAAGUAAGAGAAGAAACAGAGACCAGAUCCAGGUCCCCACUUGAAUCACUAUAAUUAUUGAAAAUAGCAGCUGAUACGUACCAAUAUAAAACUGAAGACUUGCUAUGACCCAGGAACUCUGGGAAGCAUGUUAUGUAAUUGCAUCUGCCUUCCUUGCUGGACUCUAAGCUCCUUGAGGACAAAGAUGUAUCCAUUGUGCCACUUCUACAUUCUCCAAGCCUAGCAGAGAACCAAGAACUAAGGGCUCAAAAACAUGUGUUGAAUUAAUUAAGAAUAUCACAGCAAAUCCUCUGAAAAACUCAGAGAUAAGUGACAUCAUCAUCCUUAUUUUAUAGAUGACAAACCUGAAAUUUGGGUCAAGAACACAGAGCCUGUGGGUGACAAACAGCAAUCCAAACCAACAAUCAGAUUCCCAAACUUGAAAACUCAUCUACUCUGCCUCACUGAUCAGUUUGUUUGCCCAGUUUCACCAUAAAAGAGUAGGUAAGAUGGGGAGUGAGGAGAGAGACACAAGGAAAAACAUCUCUUGCUUGAGACACCCUCUUCUUUCUUACUCACUUGCCACACAUUCUUUAAGGCUUAUUUCCAGCCCAAAAUUCUCCAAGAAAUCUUUUUGGACCAUACAGCUCUUUUUGUUUCUUCUGAAUACCAGCAGCCCUUAAUAUCCAUUGAAAAGAAUUAAAAAACUACCCCAGCUCUCCUGCAUAGCUCAUUCUUGUUAAGUGUAUGGAGUCCUCUGAAUUUCCCAAAAGCAUGAUAAGGUCCUAAGGGCAAGGUACCCAAUUAUUUUCCCUGUUUGCGGAACAGCACACAGCACAAAAAUGAACACAUGGUUUAGGUUCUUUGUAACUACCUAAGGUCAGAUCAGCUAGAGUGACUAGUUAAUGAUAUACAUAAUAUCAGUAUCAGACCAGGAAUAUCCUUCCUCCUCUCAUUUGUAAAAUUCUCUCAAAUAUCACCCAUUAAAACUGUGGACUUCUUCAUCCUUUUUGUGUUCAUUUAUCUAAAGUGCUAGACAAGCCAGGAGAAUGCCCUGGCCAAAGAAAAUUAAAGGAAGAAAAGGUUAUGAGCUUUUUGCUUCCUCCCAUGCACACUUUGCUUAAUUCAGGGAGCAUUUGGUUUUUAUUCCAUGAGAGACCAAGGACUCCCACUUCAAAAACAACACAAUGAUUAUGGCCAGCAAAAUUCCUAUAAAAGAGAACAUAAAGAAACUUCAGAGACAUUUAAUUGAUCUACAGUAAGAAUGGGCCAGGAUUUUUACACUCUGGAAGUAUUAGGUAGAACUGUAGUUAAAAUUAUUUAUUUUAUUACAAGAAUAGUACAAGGCUGUCUUUAUGCCAGAGUAAUUAUCCAGUUAAUUGCCCUAGAAUGAGUAUAACCCAGUUUCCAGAUACAUAACACACAUUUUGCCAAAUGUGACUUGACUUAUGCCAGCAGCCUGCAACAGUUUUAAUCUCAAAAGUUGCCAGGGAACUUAAAGGACACCCACGGGAGCCUGGGGCAAGCCCAAGACUGCACAGCAGGAAGCACAUGGAAGGGGAAGGAAGAAAAGGAAUGACUAUCAGCUGCUGGGACCAAGGAGUCCAGGAAAGUAGAACAAGGAAGGGAUGUGAGCAGAGGAAAACAAGUAGAAGAAAGGAAAAAAUAAGUAAAUGUGGUGAAGAACAAUGGCCUUCUUUUUGGCAUUAACGGAAUAAAAUAUGUUUUGGGCAUCAUAGAUGUUACUGCUCUUUUUUGAGAAUUAAAUGAAGUAUAUAAUGAGCUAGGCAAAGUGCCAAACAUAUAGUAAUAAUUUUAGGAUGUUAGGUGUUUUUUGUCCCCCAAAGGGAUGUUUGUUUGUGGGGGUUUUUUGUUUUGUUUUGUUUUUUGUUUAUUUUUUGAGAUGGAGUCUGGCUCUUAUCGCCA
rnacentral:lncRNA from 1 species